UACGGAGGAUGCAAGCGUUAUCCGGAUUUAUUGGGUUUAAAGGGUCCGUAGGCGGGCUAAUAAGUCAGUGGUGAAAUCGAGCAGCUUAACUGUUCAACUGCCAUUGAAACUGUUGGUCUUGAGUGAAUUUGAAGUUGCCGGAAUAUGUAGUGUAGCGGUGAAAUGCAUAGAUAUUACAUAGAACACCAAUUGCGAAGGCAGGUAACUAAGAUUUAACUGACGCUGAUGGACGAAAGCGUGGGGAGGCGAACAGGAUUAGAUACCCU
rnacentral:rRNA from 1 species